GACCCAGCAGAAAGAGACUGGAAGAGCGAACAGGCUGUCCAACGGCCCAUCGACGUAUUCCCCAGCCGGCUGUUGGAUCUGUGCAACCAGGACACGCCACUCACCUUCCUUACUUUCCUGCCAAACGGAUGCCAGGAUCGAUCCAAAUGGCUCGCCCACGGUCACCACAGCGAGGUCUUCGAGGUGGCAUCCCCGCUAAAGCGAACAGUCCUCAAGGUGAUUCCCGUAACGGGGGACUUCACAGAACAACGAAUCGACGCCAUCGCAGCAGGCCAUCGAGUGCUGCGUCAAACUUAGCAUGCUGAGACAUGGAGUGCGCUACAGAACGCCCAAUUUCGUCGAAACGCAAAGGAUCGCAUGCGUGUUUGACCAGUUCCCGAAGUGGCUGCUGCGUGGCGACCAUGGCCUCGGAUCCAGGGACUUCCA
rnacentral:lncRNA from 1 species